rnacentral:misc_RNA from 1 species
CGCUUAAAUUCACCUCCAGAUGUCUCAAAACCCUUGAUCGAUUUUCCAUUCUGAUCCAUUUAUCAGCCCUUAAUUUUCUAUUAUUCUGAGCUUCUUACUUAACUUUCCGGCGAAAAUUUCGACACCAUGGCUGCGCUUCUCAGAUUGAGAACUUCCAAGGAAACGGCUUCUUUUACAGCCUCUCAACUGAGAAACUUAUCACUCAAUUACAUGCACGCGGGUGGCAUGUCUAGCUCUUACCGUUCGCACCAUUCAAAAUGGGACGAUCGCUUCGCUAAUGCUCCUUAUCAUUUCACUUCUUUCAAGCCUGUC